GACGAACGCUGGCGGCGUGCUUAACACAUGCAAGUCGAACGAUGAAGCCGGAGCUUGCUCUGGUGAAUUAGUGGCGAACGGGUGAGUAACACGUGAGUAACCUGCCCUUGACUAUGGGCUAACUGCUGGAAAUGGUAGCUAAUACCGGAUACGACCCUCGGAGGCAUUUCCAGGGGGUGGAAAGAAUUUCGGUCAAGGAUGGACUGGCGGCCUAUCAGCUAGUUGGUGAGGUAACGGCUCACCAAGACGACGACGGGUAGCCGGCCUGAGAGGGUGACCGACCACGCUGGGACUGAGACACGGCCCAGACUCCGACGGGAGGCAGCAGUGGGGAAUAUUGCACAAUGGGCGCAAGCCUGAUGCAGCAACGCCGCGUGAGGGAUGACGGCCUUCGGGUUGUAAACCUUUUUUAGUAGGGAAGAAGCGAAAGUGACGGUACCUGCAGAAAAAGCACCGGCUAACUACGUGCCAGCAGCCGCAGUAA
rnacentral:rRNA from 1 species